AAGGAUAGAAACGAGCAGGCACCUGAGGACAACCCUUCCAAGACUUUGGCUUCCCCUGGCCUCCCGGCUGAAGCUCCACAGGUCUCUCUGGUCAUUACGAACGUCAAAAGUGAGAGCUUCAAAGAGCAACCAAAGUCGGAGGAGCCUUACACUUCGAGCGAGAUCAAGUUCGAGGCGUUUGUCUCCAAGGAUUUCGAGGACGACGUGCAGAUCGACGAGGCUCUGGAGAAAUGCAUGUCCGGGAGAUCUUUCCUGGACGGCAUCUCCGCUUCUCCACUCACGACGUACGAGACCACCACCACCUUGGGAAUCAAAGGCAUUUGCUGCAGCAAACAGGAUCUCAUCAGUUCUUCGCUACGCACAGGGCCAUCGUCGCAAAGUCUACCUCAUUUGCAGCGAUCGCUCUCCCCGUCAUCGCUAGCAUCCUUUCGAAACGACUUCGCUGCCAAGGAGAUCAAGGCCCUUUGCAAAGAG
rnacentral:lncRNA from 1 species